GCAGUUAAGAGCGGAUGGGCAGGCCCUGGUUCUCACUCCAAACCUGUGUGUGGUGAUUUUGGACUUCUGGGCUGCUUUUCGCACCACUCCUCCGGCUGCUUUGAGGUCUCUAAGCCUUUGUGGCUGCCUUCCUAGCCGCUGGGGCUUUGUCCCUUGCUGGAGUCCCCUUGAGCGGUUUGCCCUAGUGGCCUCUAGGUGGAGGGAUAGUCCUGGGACAGGUG